GAAUCGGCAGAUCCAGUCUCUUGAAUUAAAUAGCUAAAUAAUGAGGAUGAUUUUAUGAUAUGCUCUAGUGUGUUGUUACACAAAUCUCAUAACUAAUGAAAAGGGCUUUACCGUCAUUGGCGACCUCUAGAGUGUGUGUGGUGACGUCACAGGACCUCAGAGCGCGCGCAGCCGAUGACGUCAUCACAGAGAAGACGCGCCCGAUGUGUCUGAGUCUGGAGUAAAAGUCUUAAAUCUAAUGUCUCGUGAGUGUCCUUUGACAUCCGCAUCAUCAAACAGAGGGGUUUCCAUGGCAACGGCCCCCACAGCAGCUGUGUGUGAGGAUGCUCUCUCAGCAUCUGAUGCUCUCCUCCCAGAGGACAAACGCAUCCAGACGUGAAGAUGUUAAAGUGCUCUGCGUGGAUUAAACACACGGAGGGUCAGACGAAGCCCCAGACACACAGAGGAAUCACAAACUACAGCUCAACUGAGGAAGAGCUGAGGAAUUCUUCAUCAGUCAGAGUUAGACCUCAACACAAUGAGUAUGCUGGGAAAUAAUGCUGUAGAAAGAAGAACAUACAAACUGCGGUUAAACUUCACUAAAU